UUCACUUUGUCAAGUUUGCUCAAAUAAGAACCUUGUUUUUGUGGAUGAAAAUUAAUCAUAAACGAUUUUUAUUCUAAUUUAACAGUUAUUACAAUUACAAGACACCACAAAUAGUUAACUAUUGUGCUUGUUGGCAGAUGGUGCUUGAAUCACUUUGUUUGAUAUGUUUGCGCUCAUGCAUGAUACAGCGAUACUUAUCCCUUGUUAUAACAGUAAUACUGUAAUAAUAACACAUAUGGCCUGUGGGUUACUGCAACUGACGAUGGACUAGUCAGUACUCACUACUUUCGCGUCUUGUGUCCUUACUCCUUCGAAACCUAUAAUCUUGGAAACUAUAUUCCUAAAUCUUGUACUCUGGACUCUGGAGGCCAGGCUUAGCCAGCGCUCAUUUCGAGAUCACCCUAAAAAGUAAAAACUCCUCAUUGUCAGUCGCAGAUCUUCAUGGGUCCCCAAGUGCUGCAGCAACGGUGUUUACGGCGUACCCUGUGAUGCUUGGGAAAAUCAAGGCCAACGGGAACUUCAACGCUCAAACCAUUCACCACUAAUGAGGCGCAUGCGUUCAAGGCCCAUCGAUCGCUGACGCUCAGUGCGACACUGCGACGGAGAGACGCUGGUGGGUCUGUAAGUGAGCAACGACUACCGCGCCCGCGACGUAACGGCCUCGUUGACGCUGGACCAGUUGGACAUUAGAGCGCAUCGGACAGUGCCGUCGGCGCCGAGCCACAACAUUACAAUACCAGGGCAUACUGAUCCGGUUUCCCGGCGGCCAGAUUGUUUCGCUCAGCAGCAGAUACACCGGCAGUGACUUUCAUGUGGCGGCCUAGCGGCCCUUGCCUACACAGCGUGUCCAGCGUCGGCUACGCCGUCGAGAUCCCAAAACCGACGCGGCCUUCCGCGGUGCGCACGGAGUGAGUGUCAAGUGCAUUUAUUGUAUUUCCAUUUGGCCGUUUGAUAAAGUCUGUCUCCAUCCAGAGCCGGAAUCCGCUUAUUAAACAUAUAUCUUCCGAGUGGAUAUUGGACACUCUAGCCUCGAUUUUUAAUUAAAUGAACUCUUGUUUAUUAACGACAUGUCUGGUUUAGCUUUGAAAAUUUAAAUAAGGUAAUUAUCCUCUUGUUUAGUUCUGGAGUGUGGUGGUGUUUGUUGCCUUUAUAAAUUUUAUUUAAUUUCAAACUAAAUGGAAAUCCUGUUGGCACAAGCACAAUGAUAUUGUCCUUAUUACGGUGUAUCUCAAUAAAAACAGU